GACAGAGGUGCCAAGCGUUAGGCGGAAUCACUGGGCUUAAAGCGUGUGUAGGCGGGUCGUUAAGUGCCUUGUGAAAUCCCCCGGCUCAACCGGGGAACGGCUGGGUAUACUGGCGAUCUUGAGCCACCUAGGGGCAGUCGGAACAAGUGGUGGAGCGGUGAAAUGCGUAGAUAUCACUUGGAACGCCAAUGGUGAAAACAGACUGCUGGGGGUGUGCUGACGCUGAGACACGAAGGCCAGGGGAGCAAACGGG
rnacentral:rRNA from 1 species